rnacentral:rRNA from 1 species
AGAGUUUGAUCCUGGCUCAGGAUGAACGCUGGCGGUCUGCUUAACACAUGCAAGUCGAACGGAAUCCUUCGGGAUUUAGUGGCGGACGGGUGAGUAACACGUGAGAAUCUGCACUCAGGAUGGGGACAACAGCGGGAAACUGCUGCUAAUACCCAAUGUGCCGAAAGGUAAAAGAUUUAUCGCCUGAGAAUGAGCUCGCGGCCGAUUAGUUAGUUGGUGGGGUAAUGGCCUACCAAGACGGCGAUCGGUAGCUGGUCUGAGAGGAUGAGCAGCCACACUGGGACUGAGACACGGCCCAGACUCCUACGGGAGGCAGCAGUGGGGAAUUUUCCGCAAUGGGCGCAAGCCUGACGGAGCAAGACCGCGUGGGGGAGGAAGGCUCUUGGGUUGUAAACCCCUUUUCUCAGGGAAGAAGUUCUGACGGUACCUGAGGAAUCAGCCUCGGCUAACUCCGUGCCAGCAGCCGCGGUAAUACGGAGGAGGCAAGCGUUAUCCGGAAUUAUUGGGCGUAAAGCGUCCGUAGGUGGUGGGGCAAGUCGGCGGUUAAAGACUGGGGCUUAACUCCAGAAAGGCCGUGGAAACUGCACCACUAGAGGGCAGUAGGGGCAGAGGGAAUUCCCGGUGUAGCGGUGAAAUGCGUAGAGAUCGGGAAGAACACCAGUGGCGAAAGCGCUCUACUGGACUGCAACUGACACUCAGGGACGAAAGCUAGGGGAGCGAAUGGGAUUAGAUACCCCAGUAGUCCUAGCCGUAAACGAUGGAUACUAGGUGUUGUCUGUAUCGACCCGAGCCGUGCCGAAGC